rnacentral:rRNA from 1 species
UACGAAGGGGGCUAGCGUUGCUCGGAAUCACUGGGCGUAAAGGGUGCGUAGGCGGGUCUUUUAAGUCAGGGGUGAAAUCCUGGAGCUCAACUCCAGAACUGCCUUUGAUACUGAAGAUCUUGAGUUCGGGAGAGGUGAGUGGAACUGCGAGUGUAGAGGUGAAAUUCGUAGAUAUUCGCAAGAACACCAGUGGCGAAGGCGGCUCACUGGCCCGAUACUGACGCUGAGGCACGAAAGCGUGGGGAGCAAACAGGAU